rnacentral:rRNA from 1 species
GUGUGCCUACGGGGGACAGCAGUGGGGAAUAUUGCACAAUGGGGGAAACCCUGAUGCAGCGACGCCGCGUGAGUGAAGAAGUAUCUCGGUACGUAAAGCUCUAUCAGCAGGGAAGAAAAAAAGUCUUUGGCUUUGGACGGUACCUGACUAAGAAGCCCCGGCUAACUACGUGCCAGCAGCCGCGGUAAUACGUAGGGGGCAAGCGUUAUCCGGAUUUACUGGGUGUAAAGGGAGCGUAGACGGCAGCGCAAGUCUGGAGUGAAAUGCCGGGGCUCAACACCGGAACUGCUUUGGAAACUGGGCAG